rnacentral:lncRNA from 1 species
GAAUGAUUCCCUUAGUCAUCGUGAUGAAACUCGAGACACCACAUGUUUAUCUUUUCUCCACUACAUGUACUCUCCAAAGGAGUUUCCUGCAGCAGGAGGAUAUUUCUGAGGAAGUUUCUUGCUGUGCUUUUUGGUUAUGACAAGUUCCACCAUGGAAUGAAUGAUCAAGGCAUAUUGGGCGGGACCCCUAUUCUUGGCUUUUCGUCUAAAUUAAAAGAUCAUAAUUAUAACUGCAUGCCAUUGGCGGGCCUGCCACUGCCUGCCACAAGGUCCCCAUGGCCACGGGGAUAACAAUGAG